rnacentral:rRNA from 1 species
GGCCAAGUUAUUAAGGGCGCACGGUGGAUGCCUAGGCAUCAGGAGCCGAUGAAGGACGUGGGAGGCUGCGAUAAGCCUCGGGGAGCUGUCAACCGAGCUGAGAUCCGAGGAUGUCCGAAUGGGGAAACCCGGCAGCAGUCAUGUGCUGUCACCCACAUCUGAACACAUAGGGUGUGUGGAGGGAACGCGGGGAAGUGAAACAUCUCAGUACCCGCAGGAGAAGAAAACAACAGUGAUUCCGUGAGUAGUGGCGAGCGAAAGCGGAUGAGGCUAAACCAUAUCAGUGUGAUAGCUGGCAGGCGUUGCUGGUAUGGGGUUGUGGGACCCGCCGGCCGGGGCUGUCGACCCGGCAGGGAGUGAGAAAGUGGCGUGGUUAGCGGAAGGCGUCUGGAAAGCGUCAGCGUAGAGGGUGAUACUCCCGUACGCGAAAACCUGUCACCUCCCGGUGGGGAUCCCAAGUAGCAGCGAGCCCGUGAAAUUCGCUGUGAAUCUGGCGGGACCACCCGCUAAGCCUAAAUACUCCCUGAUGACCGAUAGCGGACUAGUACCGUGAGGGAAAGGUGAAAAGUACCCCGGGAGGGGAGUGAAAUAGUACCUGAAACCGUGUGCCUACAAGCCGUCGGAGCCUUAUGGGGUGACGGCGUGCCUUUUGAAGAAUGAGCCUGCGAGUUAGUGGUGCGUGGCGAGGUUAACCCGGGUGGGGUAGCCGUAGCGAAAGCGAGUCCGAAUAGGGCGAUCAUAGUCGCGUGCUCUAGACCCGAAGCGGAGUGAUCUACCCAUGGCCAGGGUGAAGCGCGGGUAAGACCGCGUGGAGGCCCGAACCCACCAGGGUUGAAAACCUGGGGGAUGAGCUGUGGGUAGGGGUGAAAGGCCAAUCAAACUCCGUGAUAGCUGGUUCUCCCCGAAAUGCAUUUAGGUGCAGCGUCGUGUGCUUCUCGUCGGAGGUAGAGCACUGGAUGGUCUAGGGGGCCGACAAGCCUACCAAAAUCAGCCAAACUCCGAAUGCCGGCGAGCCAGGAGCACGGCAGUGAGACUGCGGGGGAUAAGCUUCGUAGUCGAAAGGGAAACAGCCCAGACCACCGGCUAAGGUCCCGAAGCGUGUGCUAAGUGGGAAAGGAUGUGGGGUCGCACAGACAACCAGGAGGUUGGCUUGGAGGCAGCCAUCCUUGAAAGAGUGCGUAAUAGCUCACUGGUCAAGUGAUCCCGCGCCGACAAUGUAGCGGGGCUCAAGCACACCACCGAAGCCGUGGCGUUCACAUAAGAUCCGCACCCUCUUUUGGGAGGGUGUGCAGUCGUGUGGACGGGUAGGGGAGCGUCGUGCGGCGAGUGAAGCGGCGGGGUAACCCAGCCGUGGACGCCGCAGGAGUGAGAAUGCAGGCAUGAGUAGCGAAAGGGGAGUGAGAAACUCCCCCGCCGAAUGACCAAGGGUUCCUGGGCCAGGCUAAUCCGCCCAGGGUAAGUCGGGACCUAAGGCGAGGCCGACAGGCGUAGUCGAUGGACAACGGGUUGAUAUUCCCGUACCCGCAUGAGCGCGUCCCUGGCGAGGUCGGUGAUGCUGACCGCCCGAACCGCUGUCAGUCCUUUCGGGGACUGGUGGUGGCAAGCGCGGGACCCAAACCGAUAGUAGCCAAGCGAUGGGGUGACGCAGGAGGGCAGCCCCGCCAGUGAGUGGUAGAACUGGUGUAAGGGUGUAGCCAGCCGCCGCAGGCAAAUCCGUGGCGGCGUUAAUGGUGAGACCUGACGCAUAGCCGAAUGAGGCGAAGCAGGGUGAUCCCAUGCUGCCGAGAAAAGCCUCUAGCGAGUUCUCAUGCGGCCCGUACCCCAAACCGACACAGGUGGUCAGGUAGAGAAUACCAAGGCGAUCGAGCAAA